GAGAAGCGUCCUCAGCGACGGACCGGGCC
rnacentral:snRNA from 1 species